rnacentral:rRNA from 1 species
UGGGGAAUAUUGGACAAUGGGCGAAAGCCUGAUCCAGCCAUGCCGCGUGUGUGAAGAAGGUCUUCGGAUUGUAAAGCACUUUAAGUUGGGAGGAAGGGCAGUAAGCGAAUACCUUGCUGUUUUGACGUUACCGACAGAAUAAGCACCGGCUAACUCUGUGCCAGCAGCCGCGGUAAUACAGAGGGUGCAAGCGUUAAUCGGAAUUACUGGGCGUAAAGCGCGCGUAGGUGGUUCGUUAAGUUGAAUGUGAAAGCCCCGGGCUCAACCUGGGAACUGCAUCCAAAACUGGCGAGAUAGAGUAGGGCAGAGGGUGGUGGAAUUUCCUGUGUAGCGGUGAAAUGCGUAGAUAUAGGAAGAAACACCAGUGGCGAAGGCGACCACCUGGGCUCAUACUGACACUGAGGUGCGAAAGCGUGGGGAGCAAACAGG